AGAGUUUGAUCAUGGCUCAGGAUGAACGCUAGCGGCAGGCCUAACACAUGCAAGUCGAGGGGCAUCGGGAUUGAAGCUUGCUUCAAUUGCCGGCGACCGGCGCACGGGUGCGUAACGCGUAUGUAACCUACCUAUAACCAGGGGUCAUAACACUGAGAAAUUAGGUACUAAUUCCCCACUAAUAUUCGGAGAGGCAUCUCUCCGGGUUGAAAACUCCGGUGGUUAUAGAUGGACAUGCGUUGUA
rnacentral:rRNA from 1 species